rnacentral:ncRNA from 1 species
CCUUACUCCACAUAUGGAACGCCAACAUAAGGGAAACCGAUUGAAUCGCGCGGGAAUAUGUUAAGGCCGGAGGCGCUAUAAAAAAGGAGGUUCAAUUCAACCGCUUGGCUUGCGGUGCGGCAAUGUGGAGACUUGCCGUAAUGCGCGGCGCGGCACAGCCCGCGCGUGCGAGGCGGCUUUUCGCGGAGGCGGGGCCGUCAAAGCCGGGAAACAUGGCA